GGAGUCUGCAACUCGACUCCAUGAAGCUGGAUUCGCUAGUAAUCGCGCAUCAGCCAUGGCGCGGUGAAUACGUUCCCGGGCCUUGUACACACCGCCCGUCAAGCCAUGGGAGUCGGGAGUGCCUGAAGUUCGUGACCGUAUAGGAGCGACCUAGGGCAAGACUGAUGACUGGGGCUAAGUCGUAACAAGGUAGC
rnacentral:rRNA from 1 species